rnacentral:tRNA from 1 species
GGAGAGAUGGCCGAGUGGUUGAAGGCGCACGACUCGAAAUCGUGUGUGCGUGUUGAGCGCACCGUGGGUUCGAAUCCCACUCUCUCCGCCA